UGUCUCUUCGGAGACACUAUGGUCAAACCGUAAAGAAACAGAGAAGAUUAGCAUGGCCCCUGGACUAAGGAUGACACAAUCAAUCAAAGAGAAGCAUGCAUUUUUU